ACGAGAUCAUGCCCUCACGGGUAGACCUCCCACCCUUGAAUACUAUACCUUCGUUGCUUUGGCGGGCCGCCUCGGCCACCGGCUCUCGCUGGUGAGUGCCCGCCAGAGGACCCUAAACUCUGAAUUAUCGUGUCGUCUGAGUACUUAUACAAUAGUUA
rnacentral:misc_RNA from 1 species